rnacentral:tRNA from 1 species
ACUUAAGUAGCUCAAAAAGAGUAUAGCAGUGAAGAUGCUGAGGUAAUAAUAUAUUCUUAAGUA